UACCUCAACAGCUGGAAGGAAAUCCUUCCAGUUGACGAGAUACAUGUACUUUGUCAACCGGAAGGAAACAUGUACCUCAUCAACCAGAAGGAAAACCUUCCAGCCGGUGAGGUA
rnacentral:miRNA from 1 species